rnacentral:rRNA from 1 species
UACGAAGGGGGCGAGCGUUGUUCGGAUUUACUGGGCGUAAAGGGCGCGCAGGCGGCUUGUUUUGUCAGGCGUGAAAGCCCCGGGCUUAACCUGGGAACUGCGUUUGAUACGGACGGGCUAGAGUUCGGGAGAGGAGAGUGGAAUUCCCAGUGUAGAGGUGAAAUUCGUAGAUAUUGGGAAGAACACCGGUGGCGAAGGCGGCUCUCUGGACCGAGACUGACGCUGAGGCGCGAAAGCGUGGGUAGCAAACAGG